UCUCUACAGGCUCUGCUUCUCCAAGUGAUGGCAUGAGGAGUGGGCUGGAAGCAGGACUGGUGGUCUGGGGAUUCAUGGAUAUCUGCCUAUAAAAUGGGAGAAUUUGUAUACCUCAGAAGAACUUGCAGGUAACAAUCUGGAACCCAAUACCUGCACACUUUGACCACCCAUGCAGACUGUGCAGGAGCUUACAAGAGGAUGGAGACAAGUGUUCCCGGUGAACACCACGAGAGCCCCAGCAGUUCACCCUUUGAACUGGAUCCUGAGAUAUUUGACCUUGAGGACUCCCAGUACCUCAAAAGUAGAAGGAUAGAUUGAGGCUGGGACUCAGCAAGAAGAAAGGUUUUGGAUUUGCCCCAGCUAGUCUUUGGAUGGGACUGCAAAGAGGUUCUGCCCAUGUAACUCCUGCCCCAAAGACCAUUGGUAU